CUCUUGUUUGCUUAUGUUUUCAUCAUCUCUAUUUCUUUAUUUCUUGUUGUAACCAAUGGUGUAAAAAUUCCGUGUGUUAAAGACACUGAUUGUCCAACUUUGCCUUGCCCUCUAUAUUCGAAGUGUGUUGAUGGAUUUUUUCUACGGUAAGCACGAAUUUCUGUCCGAAGGGUGUGCAAUUUUUUAAACUCCACAAGUAAACGAGCACACUGAUUCCUCAAAGUCUUCAAGUCAUAGCGUUAUGUUGGUUCUGAUUCAUUUUGAGGUUGGUGUUGUUGUUCGUUGCCGUUGAUUUUGCUGCCUCCGCUUAGUUCGUUGACUUAUUAUUUGAGUUUCCUUGUUUUCGAUCCAUUUUAAGGUUGGUGUUGCUGCUGGCUGGUUAUUGCUUCUUUUCUUUUUGGAUCCACUUGUUCGUUGGCUUGUUAUUUGAGCGGCGCGAAAAAUGGAUCAACAUAUUUUCCAUCGUAGUUGGAUGUACGAUAGAAAAUAUCCGGGGAAAAGGAAACUUAAGGCGGCUUUUGUGGAUGGAGUUCGUGAUUUUGUUGCUUACGCCAUGGCGCAAGAUGCCUUUCAAUUGGAGGGAGGGAUAAGAUGUCCGUGUGUUAAAUGUACGUGUAGGUUGAUUCGGAGCCCAAAAGAUGUUCUAAACCAUUUAAAGGACAUUGGUUUUAUGGAGAAUUAUUAUUUGUGGAUUUAUCACGGUGAACAAGAGCCGACAAAUAAUACCGAGUCUAAUGUUAAUAUGCACGCUUCAAGCAGUGAGGCGCGUAUGGAGUGUUAAAACUUUGGUGUGAUGGAAGAUAUGGUCGGUGAUGCUCUUGGGGUGAACCUGUCUUACACCGAGGGUGGUGAAGAGGAAACAAUCCCGAAUGAGAAAGCGUUGAAGUUUUACAAGAUGAUGCAAGAAGUAAACAAGCCAUUGUUUGAAGGGUCGUCUGAUUCUAAGUUAUCCAUGAGUGUGAGGCUUUUAGCUGCCGCGUCAGAUUGGAGUGUAGCCGAAGAAGGCUCAGAGUGUUAUACAGAUAUCAUGAGGGACGCAACUCCUGUAAAGGACAAUUUGCCCUUGAGUUUUUAUGAGGCUCAAAAGUUGGUGGAGAAGUUGGGAUUGGAAGUUAAAACUAUUGACUGUUGCGUUAAUGGGUGCAUGUUGUUUUACGACAACGAAUUUGGUAAAAAUGAUGGGGCGUUGGUGGCGUGUAAAUUUUGCAAUGCACCGAGGUAUGAAGUAUGUGAUGAUGCUGAUUCUCAGAAGAAGAAACGAGUCUCAGUCAAGUCAAUGUUUUAUCUGCCAAUAAUACCAAGAUUGCAGAGAUUGUUUGCAUCAACUCACACGGCCGAAAAAAUGACGUGGCAUUAUUACAAUAAAACAAAUUCAGGUGUGAUGCGACAUCCUUGUGACGGGGUGGCAUGGAAGCACUUUGAUCAAGUACAUCGUGAUUUUGCAGAAGAUCCACGUAAUGUGAGGAUUGGAUUAUGCUCUGAUGGAUUUAUUCCGUAUAUCCAAGCAUCAGCAACGCCUUAUUCUUGUUGGCCAAUUCUUCUUACCCCGUAUAAUCUUCCUCCUGAGAUGUGCAUGUCAAAGCCUUAUUUAUUUUUGAGUUGUAUUGUACCAGGACCUACGAGCCCCUUAGAUGGUAUAGAUGUGUAUCUACAACCCUUAAUUCAUGAUUUGAAUAGAUUGUGGAACGGUGCAUCGACAUAUGAUAUUGCAAGGAAGAAGAAUUUUAGAAUGAGGGCAGCUUUGAUGUGGACUAUUAACGACUUUCCUGCAUAUGGAAUGUUGUCUGGAUGGUCGACUCAUGGAAGAUUGGCUUGUCCACAUUGCAUGGAACACACAAAGGCCAUAUGGUUGCAUCACGGAAGAAAGCAUUCGUGGUUUGACUGUCAUCGUCCGUUUUUACCAAAGACACAUGAAUUUUGUAAGAGGAAUUUGUUUACUAAAGGAAAAACAUAAAAAGAUGGCCCGCCUCCUAGGACAUCAUCAGAGGAAGUAUACCGUAGAGUCAAUGAACUAGGACUUUUGAAAUUCACAAAUGUUGGCAAAAGAGUCAGACACCUACAAUACGGUAAUGAGCACCAUUGGACCAAAAGAAGUAUUUUCUGGGAUCUCCCUUACUAGAAAGAUAAUUUAUUGAGACAUAAUCUUGAUGUUAUGCACAUUGAAAAGAACUUUUGUGACAAUAUAAUUCACACGGUGAUGAAUGUCUCUGGUAAAUCAAAAGAUAAUGAGAAGGCUAGAAUGGACUUGUCAUUGCAAUGUAAGAGACCAGAAAUGGAGCUACAACUUCUUCAAAAUGGAAAAUAUCUAAAACCCAAGGCUAUUUAUAGUCUUACUGCUGAUGAAGCAAAAUCUGUUUGUCAAUGGUUGAAAGAAUUGAGGAUGUCAGACGGAUAUUGUUCUAACUUGUCAAGGUGUGCCGACGUCAACUCAGGAAGAUUGCAUAGAAUGAAAAGUCAUGAUUCCCACAUUUUCCUGGAACGCUUACUUCCAAUUGCGUUUAGUUCAUUGCCAAAUAAUGUCUUAAACCCCUUGACUGAAGUUAGCCUUUUUUUUAAAGACUUGUGCGCUUCAACCUUGAGGAUGGAUGAACUUGUUAAAAUGGAUCAAAAUAUGCCUAUCACUCUUUGUAAACUAGAGCAAGUUUUUCCCCCGAGUUUCUUUGAUUCUAUGGAACAUCUUCCUGUGCAUCUCACAUACGAAGCUUGGCUCGGUGGACCUGUUCAAUAAAGGUGGAUGUAUCCUUUUGAAAGGUUCAUGGGUUAUGCAAAGCGAAUGGUGAGAAAUAAAGCAAGGGUUGAGGGAUCAAUAGUUGCAGCUUAUGUGCGUCGGGAAACAAACUAUUUCAUCUCUCAUUACUUCAACCCGUUGAUGUUGAACCCAAGAAAUAUACGAAAUGAAGUUAUUGUUGAAAGUGAAGGGUUUCAGUCUGCCUUAUCAGUUUUUUCGUCACCAAGGACGUCCUUGUCAUCCAGGGAAAUAUUCUUGGAUGAACGACGCAGAGUUGCAGUCAGCGACAAUUCAUGUGAUGAUUAAUUGUAGCGAAGUUGGACCAUACAUUGAGAUAUUUCAAGGAUUAAAUAUCAGUAACAUAUAUACAAGUUUUCAAGGAUGGUUUAAGCAUCAAUUGUUAAAUUCUCAUCCGACUACACAAAUAUAUCAUUUGAGGGGAUUAGCCGAAGGUCCGGGAAGAAAAUUCAAACAAUGGGACACUUACUUUGUCAAUGGGUUUAAAUUUCAUACUCAAUCACGGUCAGUGGGCAAAAAAACAAUUAACAGUGGUGUUUACGUCAAAGGAAUCAGUGAUGGAGGUGAAGAUGACUUCUAUGGUGUGAUCAAACACAUAUUUGAAGUAACUUACCUAUAUGUGGAUGAACCUAACAAAGUUGUAUUGUUUUAUUGUGACUGGUUUGACCCUGCAAAUGGGAUGAAAAUUGAUCCAAAGCAUAAAACUGUUGAUGUGCGAAUGAACCGGAUGUAUAAUGCAUUUGACCCUUUCAUUUUGGCAAGUAAAGUUAGUCAAGUGUAUUAUGUACCCUAUCCUUCUCAUCACCGGCGCAAACAUGGAUGGUGUGCUGCUAUCAAGUGUAAACCAAGAGGUUAAUUUGAGACAGAAGUUCCAGAUAAAGAAAUACCUUACCAAGAUGAUGAAAUAUCACAUGUUCCAGAUGUGAUUGAAGUCGAUCAUGUUACAAAUUUGGUUGACAGAGAUGUUGACGGUCAACAACUUGAUGCUGAAACGUUAGCUCGAAUGUUACUUAUUGACACUGAUAGUGGGGAGGAGUCAAGUAACUCUAGAGACAAUGGGGAAGAUGCAAAUAACCCUGACAACAAUGUGGAUGAUUUUUAUUAUGACGAUGAUGAAUAACCGUUCAUAAAACACAUGAUGUCUUUAAUGUAAUUAUUUUAUUAUAAUAAUGAAAUAUUUAUGUUUAAUAUAAUGAUUUUAUCAUAUUAGUUAUCUAUCUAAUGUAUUUUUAUAUCAUUUAUUAUCUAACUAAUAUAUUAAAAAAUUAUGUAUAAGAUAUUGUAAAAUAAAAGAAAAUUAAAUACUGUCAAAAUGAGAGGAAAGGAUCGGUUUUCACACUCCCUCUUUACCAAUUUCAUUCUUCUCCCUCCCACCUCUUUUCCCGAAUUUCAAUCUCCCUCCAUCAUCUCCAAAACCCUAAAACGAAAAUACUUCCUCAAUCUCACUUUCCCCCCAAAUCUGAAACCUAAAUUUCAAUCUCACUAACCCUAAUGGCUCAAUCUCACUAACCAAAUAUUCACUCAAUCGGUUCCUCACUCAUGGCAUAAAUCGAAGCACCUUCAUUGUUCAUCAUCUUCUUUCCGUUUGCUGCUUCCAUCACCAAUCGCUACUUCCAUCGUUUGAUGCACCAAUCGGCAGCUUAUCGCACGAAUGCAGCGGAGUUUUUGAAGGAGAAUCUUGAGAUUCCAUCAUAUCCAGAAAUUCCCUUCCCCGUUAAACUUCAAUUAUGGGCGAAGGCUGCAGAAAAAGGAAGACCGGAUGGAGGAAAAGAAAGAAAGGGUAGAAUGUACGGUCUUGGGCCAUUAGCCGGCAAUGUGGUACAUGGAGAUUUGUUCUAUGUUCCUCCUCCACCAGAGUCCUCAUCUCGUUCUAUAGAGCUGCCUCUUGAGAGGCAAGCAAUGAUACAACGAAUGAACCAGGAGUUGCAAUCUCAAAAGGAGGUGUUGGCAAAGAAAGAAGAAUCGGAGAAUGAGUUAAGGGAAUUGCUGGCCAAACAGGCAGAGGAAAUGAGAAAACUCAAAAGGAUGGUUACAAAAAGGAUGGGUGGCAUGAAGAGUAGGAAAACAUCGGAAUCAUCGUCGCCAUCGAGUCAAUCAUCACCGUCGGUUCAAGAAGACCGAACACAUGACGACGACAAUGAUGAUGAUGAUGAUGAUGAGGACGAGGACGAGGAGAGGGAUGAUGAUCAUAACGAGUAAUUUAUAUUCUUGUUGUGUAUUUCAAUGUUGUUUUUACCAAGUUUCAGUUGCUGUUUUUUGGUUAGGGACUGGUUUUGGGAACUUUUGGGGUGUUUUAAGUGGUUACUGUCAAAGAAAAUUUAAAUUGCAUUUAUGAAUUUUGUUUUAUGUAAUUAUUUAUCAACAUGACAUGUUUUGUAGGAAACAAAUUAUCAAAAAAUUUGGGUUAUUU